CCUACGGGUGGCUGCAGUGGGGAAUAUUGGACAAUGGGGGCAACCCUGAUCCAGCCAUGCCGCGUGUGUGAAGAAGGCCCUCGGGGUGUAAAGCACUUUCAGUGAGGAAGAACGCCUGGUGGUUAAUACCCAUCAGGAAAGACAUCACUCACAGAAGAAGCACCGGCUAACUCCGUGCCAGCAGCCGCGGUAAUACGGAGGGUGCGAGCGUUAAUCGGAAUUACUGGGCGUAAAGCGCGCGUAGGUGGCUUGAUAAGCCGGUUGUGAAAGCCCCGGGCUCAACCUGGGAACGGCAUCCGGAACUGUCAAGCUAGAGUGCAGGAGAGGAAGGUAGAAUUCCCGGUGUAGCGGUGAAAUGCGUAGAGAUCGGGAGGAAUACCAGUGGCGAAGGCGGCCUUCUGGACUGACACUGACACUGAGGUGCGAAAGCGUGGGUAGCAAACAGGAUUAGAUACCCUAGUAGUC
rnacentral:rRNA from 1 species